rnacentral:lncRNA from 1 species
CUUCUUCCAGAUUUACACCACCAUUAUCAUCAUCCUUCUUCCUUUUUUUCACACCACUACCGUAAUCCACUAAGCCUAGCCACACACCACCCCUUGCCGGACUGAUGCAUGAGGGAGAAUGCCGACGAAAAUUAUGGGCCCCUAACGUCGGAAACCCUAUCUCUCUCCUCUCGAUCUCUCGCGAUGUCAGCGAUAAAAGGCCGACGAUGGUGUCCGGAGAAAGGAUGCAAACGAGCUAGCAGUGAUUAUGCGGGAGGCGAUGGGGGGGAGGUUAGGGCAGGAAAAUUCAGUUGUGAAGGAACAACCGUUGUUGUUGAGUCCUCUGCUGCCGCCGCGAGUUCGGUAUCUUUCUCUCUAUUCGUCUAUCUCUUCUCGAUCUUAGUCUAUUUUCUGGUGUAAAAUUAAGUUCGAGCCAAAAAAGACGAUGAUGUUGAAGAAGAUAGGUAAACAACAAGCCAAUUGGAGAGAAUCCAUUCUGUACACAUAUAUAGUCAUACAUACUCGUACAUAGUCAUAUAUAAGAUCUGUAUGUUUUUUUUUUCUAAUGUACAGUGAUGAUGAUGGUUGUUUUUAUUUGAAGAAUUUAUACAUGUGACUUUUUGGAUCUAUUUCUG